GGAGAGUUGCCGGAGUGGUCGAACGGGGCAGUCUCGAAAACUGUUGAUCGCUUAUGCGAUCCGAGGGUUCGAAUCCCUCACUCUCCG
rnacentral:tRNA from 1 species